ACACAUGCAAGUCGAACGGCAGCACAGUAAGAGCUUGCUCUUAUGGGUGGCGAGUGGCGGACGGGUGAGGAAUACAUCGGAAUCUACUCUUUCGUGGGGGAUAACGUAGGGAAACUUACGCUAAUACCGCAUACGACCUACGGGUGAAAGCGGAGGACCUUCGGGCUUCGCGCGAUUGAAUGAGCCGAUGUCGGAUUAGCUAGUUGGCGGGGUAAAGGCCCACCAAGGCGACGAUCCGUAGCUGGUCUGAGAGGAUGAUCAGCCACACUGGAACUGAGACACGGUCCAGACUCCUACGGGAGGCAGCAGUGGGGAAUAUUGGACAAUGGGCGCAAGCCUGAUCCAGCCAUGCCGCGUGGGUGAAGAAGGCCUUCGGGUUGUAAAGCCCUUUUGUUGGGAAAGAAAAGCAGUCGGUUAAUACCCGAUUGUUCUGACGGUACCCAAAGAAUAAGCACCGGCUAACUUCGUGCCAGCAGCCGCGGUAAUACGAAGGGUGCAAGCGUUACUCGGAAUUACUGGGCGUAAAGCGUGCGUAGGUGGUGGUUUAAGUCUGUUGUGAAAGCCCUGGGCUCAACCUGGGAAUUGCAGUGGAUACUGGGUCACUAGAGUGUGGUAGAGGGUAGCGGAAUUCCCGGUGUAGCAGUGAAAUGCGUAGAGAUCGGGAGGAACAUCCGUGGCGAAGGCGGCUACCUGGACCAACACUGACACUGAGGCACGAAAGCGUGGGGAGCAAACAGGAUUAGAUACCCUGGUAGUCCACGCCCUAAACGAUGCGAACUGGAUGUUGGGUGCAAUUUGGCACGCAGUAUCGAAGCUAACGCGUUAAGUUCGCCGCCUGGGGAGUACGGUCGCAAGACUGAAACUCAAAGGAAUUGACGGGGGCCCGCACAAGCGGUGGAGUAUGUGGUUUAAUUCGAUGCAACGCGAAGAACCUUACCUGGUCUUGACAUCCACGGAACUUUCCAGAGAUGGAUUGGUGCCUUCGGGAACCGUGAGACAGGUGCUGCAUGGCUGUCGUCAGCUCGUGUCGUGAGAUGGUGGGUAAGUCCCGCACGAGCGCAACCCUUGUCCUUAGUUGCAGCACGUAAUGGUGGACUCUAGGAGACCGCCGGUGACAACCGGGAGGAAGGUGGGAUGACGUUCAGUCAUCAUG
rnacentral:rRNA from 1 species